rnacentral:rRNA from 1 species
AGAGUUUGAUCAUGGCUCAGAUUGAACGCUGGCGGCAGGCCUAACACAUGCAAGUCGAACGGUAACAGGAAGAAGCUUGCUUCUUUGCUGACGAGUGGCGGACGGGUGAGUAAUGUCUGGGAAACUGCCUGAUGGAGGGGGAUAACUACUGGAAACGGUAGCUAAUACCGCAUAACGUCGCAAGACCAAAGAGGGGGACCUUCGGGCCUCUUGCCAUCGGAUGUGCCCAGAUGGGAUUAGCUUGUUGGUGGGGUAACGGCUCACCAAGGCGACGAUCCCUAGCUGGUCUGAGAGGAUGACCAGCCACACUGGAACUGAGACACGGUCCAGACUCCUACGGGAGGCAGCAGUGGGGAAUAUUGCACAAUGGGCGCAAGCCUGAUGCAGCCAUGCCGCGUGUAUGAAGAAGGCCUUCGGGUUGUAAAGUACUUUCAGCGGGGAGGAAGGGAGUAAAGUUAAUACCUUACUCAUUGACGUUACCCGCAGAAGAAGCACCGGCUAACUCCGUGCCAGCAGCCGCGGUAAUACGGAGGGUGCAAGCGUUAAUCGGAAUUACUGGGCGUAAAGCGCACGCAGGCGGUUUGUUAAGUCAGAUGUGAAAUCCCCGGGCUCAACCUGGGAACUGCAUCUGAUACUGGCAAGCUUGAGUCUCGUAGAGGGGGGUAGAAUUCCAGGUGUAGCGGUGAAAUGCGUAGAGAUCUGGAGGAAUACCGGUGGCGAAGGCGGCCCCCUGGACGAAGACUGACGCUCAGGUGCGAAAGCGUGGGGAGCAAACAGGAUUAGAUACCCUGGUAGUCCACGCCGUAAACGAUGUCGACUUGGAGGUUGUGCCCUUGAGGCGUGGCUUCCGGAGCUAACGCGUUAAGUCGACCGCCUGGGGAGUACGGCCGCAAGGUUAAAACUCAAAUGAAUUGACGGGGGCCCGCACAAGCGGUGGAGCAUGUGGUUUAAUUCGAUGCAACGCGAAGAACCUUACCUGGUCUUGACAUCCACGGAAGUUUUCAGAGAUGAGAAUGUGCCUUCGGGAACCGUGAGACAGGUGCUGCAUGGCUGUCGUCAGCUCGUGUUGUGAAAUGUUGGGUUAAGUCCCGCAACGAGCGCAACCCUUAUCCUUUGUUGCCAGCGGUCCGGCCGGGAACUCAAAGGAGACUGCCAGUGAUAAACUGGAGGAAGGUGGGGAUGACGUCAAGUCAUCAUGGCCCUUACGACCAGGGCUACACACGUGCUACAAUGGCGCAUACAAAGAGAAGCGACCUCGCGAGAGCAAGCGGACCUCAUAAAGUGCGUCGUAGUCCGGAUUGGAGUCUGCAACUCGACUCCAUGAAGUCGGAAUCGCUAGUAAUCGUGGAUCAGAAUGCCACGGUGAAUACGUUCCCGGGCCUUGUACACACCGCCCGUCACACCAUGGGAGUGGGUUGCAAAAGAAGUAGGUAGCUUAACCUUCGGGAGGGCGCUUACCACUUUGUGAUUCAUGACUGGGGUGAAGUCGUAACAAGGUAACCGUAGGGGAACCUGCGGUUGGAUCACCU